GAGCUUAUCCCCACGCCGUCCUCUAUGAUUUUUUUUCAGCCGCCGCCCAGGCUUCUCUGUUCACACGCACGUCUGCUCCCUCUUCUUCCUCCCUUUCCGCGCUCUCUCUCCAGCGCCCAUCUCUCUCUCGUGGAGCUCCCUGGCGAGCGCACCUGCUCCCUCUGCCCUCUCCCCUGCAGCUCUCUCUUGGUGCCCAGAAUCUUUUGCUUACAUCCCCUGGCCGUGUGCCCCUGCGCCGGUCGAGUUCCCUGCGCUCGCCCAUGCCGCGCGCUCCUCCAUGCCGGCGUCCUCUGCUCGGCCAUGGCGUGGAUAGCAGACGAGCCCCUGCUUUUCUUUCCCUCCCUCUCUUCUCUACCCCUGUUCGGCCUCCAACUCCAGCCAUGGUGGCCACCGGAUGCGUUCCUCCCGGCCCCGGCUUCCCAUGGCGCCCGCUCGGUCCCUGCUCGGAUUUUAUCCGUACCGAGCUCCCUCGCCUUCAAUUCCUUGGCCGUCGCACCU
rnacentral:misc_RNA from 1 species